UACGUAGGGUCCGAGCGUUGUCCGGAAUUACUGGGCGUAAAGAGCUCGUAGGUGGUUUGUCGCGUUGUUCGUGAAAACUCACAGCUCAACUGUGGGCGUGCGGGCGAUACGGGCAGACUUGAGUACUGCAGGGGAGACUGGAAUUCCUGGUGUAGCGGUGGAAUGCGCAGAUAUCAGGAGGAACACCGGUGGCGAAGGCGGUUCUCUGGGCCUGUACUGACGCUGAGGCGCGAAAGCUAGGGGAGCAAACGGG
rnacentral:rRNA from 1 species